CUGGCGGCAUGCCUUACACAUGCAAGUCGAACGGCAGCAUGAUCUAGCUGCUAGAUUUAUGGCGAGUGGCGAACGGGUGAGUAAUACAUCGGAACGUGCCCUGUAGUGGGGGAUAACUAGUCGAAAGAUUAGCUAAUACCGCAUACGACCUGAGGGUGAAAGUGGGGGACCGCAAGGCCUCAUGCUAUAGGAGCGGCCGAUGUCUGAUUAGCUAGUUGGUGAGGUAAAGGCUCACCAAGGCGACGAUCAGUAGCUGGUCUGAGAGGACGAUCAGCCACACUGGGGCUGAGACACGGCCCAGACUCCUACGGGAGGCAGCAGUGGGGAAUUUUGGAAAUGGGGGCAACCCUGAUCCAGCAAUGCCGCGUGUGUGAAGAAGGCCUUCGGGUUGUAAAGCACUUUUGUCCGGAAAGAAAUCGCACUUACUAAUAUUAGGUGUGGAUGACGGUACCGGAAGAAUAAGGACCGGCUGACUACGUGCCAGCAGCCGCGGUAAUACGUAGGGUCCAAGCGUUAAUCGGAAUUACUGGGCGUAA
rnacentral:rRNA from 1 species